GCCGAAGUGAUGGAAUUGGCAGACGUGACGGACUCAAAAUCCGUUGUUGGCGACAACGUGUGGGUUCGAGUCCCACCUUCGGCACCA
rnacentral:tRNA from 1 species